AUUGAACGCUGGCGGCAGGCUUAACACAUGCAAGUCGAGCGGAGAGAGGUAGCUUGCUACUGAUCUUAGCGGCGGACGGGUGAGUAAUGCUUAGGAAUCUGCCUAUUAGUGGGGGACAACAUUUCGAAAGGAAUGCUAAUACCGCAUACGUCCUACGGGAGAAAGCAGGGGAUCUUCGGACCUUGCGCUAAUAGAUGAGCCUAAGUCGGAUUAGCUAGUUGGUGGGGUAAAGGCCUACCAAGGCGACGAUCUGUAGCGGGUCUGGGAGGAUGAUGCGCCACACUGGGACGGAGACACGGCCCGGACUCCUACGGGAGGCAGCAGUGGGGAAUAUUGGACAAUGGGCGCAAGCCUGAUCCAGCCAUGCCGCGUGUGUGAAGAAGGCCUUAUGGUUGUAAAGCACUUUAAGCGAGGAGGAGGCUACUUUAGUUAAUACCUAGAGAUAGUGGACGUUACUCGCAGAAUAAGCACCGGCUAACUCUGUGCCAGCCGCCGCCGUAAUAC
rnacentral:rRNA from 1 species